rnacentral:rRNA from 1 species
AUUGAACGCUGGCGGCGUGCUUAACACAUGCAAGUCGAUCGGUAACAGGUGUAGCAAUACAUGCUGACGAGAGGCGGACGGGUGAGUAAUGCUUGGGGAAUCUGCCUAUUAGUGGGGGACAACCCGGGGGAAACUCGGGCUAAUACCGCAUACGCUCUACGGAGGAAAGCCGGGGACCGCAAGGCCUGGCGCUAAUAGAUGAGCCCAAGUCGGAUUAGCUAGUUGGGUAGGUAACGGCCUACCAAGGCGACAAUCCGUAGCUGGUCUGAGAGGACGACCAGCCACACCGGAACUGAGACACGGUCCGGACUCCUACGGGAGGCAGCAGUGGGG